rnacentral:lncRNA from 1 species
AUCAUGAAAGACAUGCUAUAUAUGUUAUCCGUUUCAUGCAGAGCUUUUAUUAUGCUAGCUAUUCUGCAUUAUCUUAAUGUGUAUAUAUAUCUUCGAGGCCUUCCAUGCACUUUAUCAUUCAAGGGUACAAAUGAUAUCGGGAUCGAAAGACAAACAUUUUUUUGUGAAGUUGCAAGAAAAAAGAAAAAGGAAAAAAAGAGUAACGAUGCUUUUGAAUACUG